AUGAGAGAGACUGCAUUGCUG
rnacentral:misc_RNA from 1 species